rnacentral:rRNA from 1 species
AGCAAAGAGGAUACACCUGUUCCCAUUCCGAACACAGAAGUUAAGCUCUUUAGCGCCGAUGGUACUUGGUGGGAAGCCGCCUGGGAGAGUAGGACAUAGCCACGU